CAGGUGCUGCAUGGCUGUCGUCAGCUCGUGUCGUGAGAUGUUGCGUUAAGUCGCGCAACGAGCGCAACCCCCUGUUCUUAGUUGCCAUCAUUAAGUUGGGCACUCUAGGGAGACAAACCCUCUUUGAGGGUGGGAAGGUGGGGGAUGACGUCAAGUCAGGAUGGCCCUUACGGCUAGGGCUGCACACGUACUACAAUGCCUGGUACAGAGGGACGCAAUACCGCGAGGUAAAGCAAAUCCCUAAAAACCGGGCCCAGUUCAGAUUGUAGUCUGCAACUCGACUACAUGAAGUUGGAAUCGCUAGUAAUGGCGCAUCAGCUACGGCGCCGUGAAUACGUUCCCGGGCCUUGUACACACCGCCCGUCACGUCAUGAAAGCCGGUUUCGCCCGAAGUGCGUUUGCCAACCAGCAAUGGAAGCGACGCCCUAAGGUGAAGCUGGUGAUUGGGACGAAGUCGUAACAAGGUAGCCGUA
rnacentral:rRNA from 1 species